AAAUUGAAGAGUUUGAUCAUGGCUCAGAUUGAACGCUGGCGGCAGGCCUAACACAUGCAAGUCGAACGGUAACAGGAAGCAGCUUGCUGUUUUGCUGACGAGUGGCGGACGGGUGAGUAAUGUCUGGGAAACUGCCUGAUGGAGGGGGAUAACUACUGGAAACGGUAGCUAAUACCGCAUAACGUCGCAAGACCAAAGAGGGGGACCUUAGGGCCUCUUGCCAUCGGAUGUGCCCAGAUGGGAUUAGCUGGUAGGUGGGGUAACGGCUCACCUAGGCGACGAUCCCUAGCUGGUCUGAGAGGAUGACCAGCCACACUGGAACUGAGACACGGUCCAGACUCCUACGGGAGGCAGCAGUGGGGAAUAUUGCACAAUGGGCGCAAGCCUGAUGCAGCCAUGCCGCGUGUAUGAAGAAGGCCUUCGGGUUGUAAAGUACUUUCAGCGGGGAGGAAGGGAGUAAAGUUAAUACCUUUGCUCAUUGACGUUACCCGCAGAAGAAGCACCGGCUAACUCCGUGCCAGCAGCCGCGGUAAUACGGAGGGUGCAAGCGUUAAUCGGAAUUACUGGGCGUAAAGCGCACGCAGGCGGUUUGUUAAGUCAGAUGUGAAAUCCCCGGGCUCAACCUGGGAACUGCAUCUGAUACUGGCAAGCUUGAGUCUCGUAGAGGGGGGUAGAAUUCCAGGUGUAGCGGUGAAAUGCGUAGAGAUCUGGAGGAAUACCGGUGGCGAAGGCGGCCCCCUGGACGAAGACUGACGCUCAGGUGCGAAAGCGUGGGGAGCAAACAGGAUUAGAUACCCUGGUAGUCCACGCCGUAAACGAUGUCGACUUGGAGGUUGUGCCCUUGAGGCGUGGCUUCCGGAGCUAACGCGUUAAGUCGACCGCCUGGGGAGUACGGCCGCAAGGUUAAAACUCAAAUGAAUUGACGGGGGCCCGCACAAGCGGUGGAGCAUGUGGUUUAAUUCGAUGCAACGCGAAGAACCUUACCUGGUCUUGACAUCCACGGAAGUUUUCAGAGAUGAGAAUGUGCCUUCGGGAACCGUGAGACAGGUGCUGCAUGGCUGUCGUCAGCUCGUGUUGUGAAAUGUUGGGUUAAGUCCCGCAACGAGCGCAACCCUUAUCCUUUGUUGCCAGCGGUCCGGCCGGGAACUCAAAGGAGACUGCCAGUGAUAAACUGGAGGAAGGUGGGGAUGACGUCAAGUCAUCAUGGCCCUUACGACCAGGGCUACACACGUGCUACAAUGGCGCAUACAAAGAGAAGCGACCUCGCGAGAGCAAGCGGACCUCAUAAAGUGCGUCGUAGUCCGGAUUGGAGUCUGCAACUCGACUCCAUGAAGUCGGAAUCGCUAGUAAUCGUGGAUCAGAAUGCCACGGUGAAUACGUUCCCGGGCCUUGUACACACCGCCCGUCACACCAUGGGAGUGGGUUGCAAAAGAAGUAGGUAGCUUAACCUUCGGGAGGGCGCUUACCACUUUGUGAUUCAUGACUGGGGUGAAGUCGUAACAAGGUAACCGUAGGGGAACCUGCGGUUGGAUCACCUCCUUA
rnacentral:rRNA from 1 species